rnacentral:rRNA from 1 species
AUCCCAUGGCUCAGAUUGAACGCUGGCGGCAGGCCUAACACAUGCAAGUCGAGCGGAUGACAGGAGCUUGCUCCUGAAUUCAGCGGCGGACGGGUGAGUAAUGCCUAGGAAUCUGCCUGGUAGUGGGGGACAACGUUUCGAAAGGAACGCUAAUACCGCAUACGUCCUACGGGAGAAAGCAGGGGACCUUCGGGCCUUGCGCUAUCAGAUGAGCCUAGGUCGGAUUAGCUAGUUGGUGAGGUAAUGGCUCACCAAGGCGACGAUCCGUAACUGGUCUGAGAGGAUGAUCAGUCACACUGGAACUGAGACACGGUCCAGACUCCUACGGGAGGCAGCAGUGGGGAAUAUUGGACAAUGGGCGAAAGCCUGAUCCAGCCAUGCCGCGUGUGUGAAGAAGGUCUUCGGAUUGUAAAGCACUUUAAGUUGGGAGGAAGGGCAUUAACCUAAUACGUUAGUGUUUUGACGUUACCGACAGAAUAAGCACCGGCUAA